rnacentral:rRNA from 1 species
GACGAACGCUGGCGGCGUGCCUAAUACAUGCAAGUAGAACGCAGUUUCGAACGGGUGAGUAACGCGUAGGUAACUGCCUCAUAGCGGGGGAUAACUAUUGGAAACGAUAGCUAAUACCGCAUACUGUGAGAUGGACCUGCGUUGUAUUAGCUAGUUGGUGAGGUAAAGGCUCACCAAGGCGACGAUACAUAGCCGAACGGAGAGGGUGUGCCGCCACACUGCGACUGGGACACGGCCCAGAACCCUGCGGGAGGGAGGAGUAGGGAAUCUUCGGCGAAGGACGGAAGGCUGACCGUGCAACGCCGCGUGAUUGAAGAAGGGUUUCGGAUCGUAAAGAACUUUUGUUAGAGAAGCGGUAACGAACCAGAAAUGAACGGCUAACUACGCGCCAGCCGCCGCGGUAAUUC